rnacentral:hammerhead_ribozyme from 1 species
AUCUAGCUGACGAGUCCCAAAUAGGACGAAAUGCACAUCCUAU